GGCUAUAGCUCAGCUGGGAGAGCGCAACACUGGCAGUGUUGAGGUCGGCGGUUCGAUCCCGCCUAGCUCCACCA
rnacentral:tRNA from 1 species